AUGAUGUGAAAUGGAGAGACAAAUACAGAAGUCUACUAUUCUAUACAUUGUAAACUUUUCAAGUCAGCGGAGACUUAGGUAUAAAAAGGAGAUCAAUUAUAGCUCAAACUCCAUCAAUAAUGUCUACACACCUUUUUUGUAAACAUGAUGAAUAUUCCCACCUCCACCCUCUUUGCUCUUCUUCUGCUUAUUCAAUUUUUUCCAGCUCAUGCAAGACUCUUACCAGAUGAUAAUAAUAAUAAUAUUGGUAGAAGUGAUCAAAUGAAAAAAAAGUUUGAGAUGAUAAUAAGAGCAUACGAUCACAGGAGGACGAGAGCCAUGUUUUCAUCUCAGCCACCGCCACCGUCCAUGGUGGAGACCUUCUCAACCCAAAAUAUAGAUAGAAAGCGAUCGCCGCCGCCUCCUCCCCGAGGAGCAAUACCGUUUGUUCCAGCUAGCUCUUUGCAGCAUUAUUAUGCUAGAAUAGUUACACCCUUUAGUUAUUAUAUUUAGUCUUAAUUAAUUUAAUAAAACAGAAAAAUUGUAUUUAAUUAGUUGCUAUUAUACAAUUAAUUAUGCAAAGAUUAUUAUCUAGUUUAACGGAAUUAGCUUUUGUUUAUAA